AUGGUGGCAGAAGCAGGAGCCUGGCCUCCCCUUCCUGCCGCCUCAGGACCCCAGCUCCCUAUCUUGCUCAUCCCAGUGGCAAAGAUGGUGGCAGCAGCCACCUUUGCCAUUUUUCCUUGUUCGCUCGUUCACUCACCAGACCUGGUCCUGGUUCUGCUGCCACUGCCACCGCCGCUGCUGGGACCUGGCCCAGUGAGUGAGCCAGCGAGUGAGCAAGGGAAGGCGGGUGAGCAGAUGACAAAGGCGCAGCGGGAGCAGAAGCUCCCUCCUCCUCUUCCUCGAUUGCCAGCCUGCCAAGGAGGAGGAUCACCAGCAACAGCGGUGGGGGCAGCAUGCAGGCCUCAUUUGGGACUGCGCUGCCCCUGCUACUUAUUGUCUUCCUCCUCCUCCUCUUCCUCAAUGGCCAGCCUGCCAAGAAGGAGGAGGAGCACUAGCAACAGCAGCGGGGGCAGCAUGCACUUGUCCUCUUCUUCCUCAAUGGCCAGCCUGUCAAGGAGGAGGAGGAGUAGGAGGAAGAUCGCCAGCAACAGUGGCAGGGGCAGCAUGCAAGACUCGCUUGGGGGCUGCACUGCCCCUGCCACUUAUUGUCUUCCUCCUCCUCUUCCUCGAUGACCAGCCUGCCGAGGAGGAGGAGGACUACUAGCAACAGUGGUGUGGGCAGCAUGCAAGCUUUGCUUGAGGACCGCGUGGCUCCCGCCACUUCUCCUCUUCUUCCUCCUCCUCUUCCUCAAUGGCCAGCCUGCCAAGGAGGAGGAGGAGGAGGAUCACCAGCAACAGCUCAAGAGGUAGGGCCGUAGCCAGGAUUCAGGAGGGGCUGGGAUUUUGAUUCGGGGGGGGGGGGAUUCGAGAGAGGACCUACCCUAGCAAAACUUUUGUAUCAUUAUCCCAAUACCCCCGUGCAUAUGGGAUAUAUUGAGCAUGGUGAUCAGAUCAUGAUAUGAAUAAACAUAACAGUUUAAAUAAUAAAUGUAAGGCCUUCUCGGGGACCACCCUGAGAAUUUCAGGGGGAGGGCUGAAGCCCCUCACGCCCCCCCCCCCGGCUUGUCUGUCAAGAGGCACCUUCUUCUGCCACCCUCCCUAUUAUCCAGCAGUUUCACUUAUCCGACAUUCUGCCCGCUCGUUUAUUUCAGAUAAUCGACUUCUGUAUUUUCUUUUCCACAGAAAAUUCUUGAGGCCUUGGUAGCACAGCGGAUUAAACCGCUCGCUGCAGGAGAUCUACUGACCGGAGGGUUGGCAGUUCAAAGCUGCGAGUUGGAAUGAACUUCUGCUGUUAGCCCUAGCUUUCACCAACCUAGCAGAAGUAGAAGUAUUCAUAGGUGAGAGAGAACCAACUCAGAAAGGAAACCUUUCAAAACUGGAACAGAAUUGCUUGCCUUCCUUCCUUCCAUUGAUAAAGUACAAAUGGACAGUCUAUUAAUAUUGUAAAUUAAUAAGGUUCUUCGGACUUUUAAUAAGGCUAGUGUAGUGAUUUCUCAGCAUUUUCCCUGGUCCUUUAAAAUUAUAUCCCUUUGGCUCAGGAUUAUUCAGGCACAGAUUGUAGAUAGGGUUUUUAGAGUCUUGAAUAAUUUCCUUGAGGUUGGAUGGUGAGCUCAUUAAAUGAGAUUAUCCUGGCAGCACACUUUUAGAAAAAUGGCCAUACACAGAGAGAGGCUAGUUGGCUAAUUAAAGAUGAUAAUGUCUGUAUAUGUGCGCAUUUCUACCUACACAAUAAGAUUUAUCUUUAACUUUAUUUUGUUGUGCAGGAUGCCAAUUACUUUCACUGUAACCUGCUAGAAAUGUUGUUCUAUAAUCAACAUGAAUAUAGUAAACUAAUUUUAUUUUAACCUGCUCAUCUUGAAAUUGCAAAUAUUGCUUAUGAAUACAAUUGUUGCCAUGGUAUUUCUAAUCAUACAGUUGUUAGUUGGGUAGAAGAUUAACUCCAUCAUUUUAAAUUCCUGUUUCAAAGACCUUUCACUAUGGGGAGUACUUCAAGUUUUAAAGAUUAAGAAGCCUGUGCAUAUAUAUAUAAGAUAUAUUCAAGAUUAAAUGGCAACAGGUGAAUUUUAAGAACACUGGCUAAUUUUUAAUACCACUCAAAACCUCUAUGUGUGUGUGUUCAAAAUAGCAAUUACACAAUUCAUGACAUGCAGAGUUGAUCAUUAGGAAGAGGCUAUUCAAAAGGUUAUGUUAUACACUUGAAUGCCAAAUUAAAGUAUGGGUUGAAGUUGAUUUAGCUGUGCAUUUCUCAGUAAACCAAACAUAUUAUCCACAUUCUCCAAAUGCACUUUAAGUUACACAAUGUACAAGCAUCGUCUUAUGGUUUUAUAACACAUACAAAAGAGAAAUAAAAGGAAAAAUACGAAUUACUAUAAAAACCCUACUAUGUUCAUAGACAUUUAAUGUGAUCUACCAAAGGCUACCAAGCUAUAAAGGGCUGGGGAGGACAAAGAUGACUUCUUCUCUCCCAAUCUGAGGUUGAAAUUGAUACACAACUUUAAAAAAUUCAUUAAAAGAUAUCUUGAUUGUACUUCUACUUGACUACAUUAUUUUCUUAUUUGUCAAAAGCUGAAGCUUUAAUAUAUCCUUGUUUGGAACUAACAAAAGACUUAAAAACAUUCCAGUCUUAUAAUCAUGGAUUUCUCCAUAAUCAGGAUUGACAAUUUAUCAGUGUUGGCAUACAUCUUCACCAGCCAAUCUUCCUUAGUUGGUAUUGUCGAAUCUGUCUAUCAUUGAGCGAACAAGAGGUGGGCUGUUGUAAUCAUAUGUUUCAGCAAUAAUCUAUGCUGCCUCUCCAGUUAAUUGGAGGGAAUUGAUCCACUAUGUUGAGAGUUCUGGUUCGCCCACAAUCCAAGAACACUUUGGACCCAACCAAAGAUAGAUCUGGACCAAACUUGGCACACAUAUCCAUCAUGGCCUACUCUACAUACUGGUGUAUUGGGGAGGGGGAUGACCUUGGACUAUGAAAGUUGUAGUUCGCCCACUUCCAUAGAGCACUGUGAACUCCACUAAUGAUGAUUUGGACCAAACUUGGCAUGAUCAACUUGACAUAUUGGUGGGUUUUGGGCUACGAUUGACCCUGGUCGAUGGGAGUUGCAGUUCACACACAAUCAAACAGCACUGUGAACCCAACAGACCAUUAGAUCUGAACAAAGCGUGGCACAUAUAUCCACCAUGACAAACUUUAAAUACUUGCAGGGUUUGGGGAGGAUUGACCCACAAUGUUGGUAAAUAUAAUUCACCCACAAUCAAACAGCACUGUGACUCCCACCAAUGAUGGAUCUGAAACAAACCUGGUACACAUACCCAGCAUGGCCAACUUUAAAUAUUGGCAGGGUUUCAGGGGGAUUGAGGGAGGAUCAUGGGAGCUGUAGUUCUCACACAUCCAAAGGCCCAUGUGUAUCUGCUUCUAUAGAGAGAGAGAUAUUUUUGAUGGGUCCAUUCAAAAAUUCCAAAACUAAACAAUGGCUACUUCUAAUGUUUAUCUUUAUAAAAUAUGUAAAUACCUAAGCUAGUAUUUAAUAUAUUUUAGGAAUUAAGUGUCUCUCAUCAGUACACAAUCGUUACUCAAACCCUGAUGUUUUUGUUUCAAAUUCAUAAUGCUUCAUAUCUUUUUGAAUCUCAUUAAAUUGCCUACAUGGAAACACAUGGGAAAUAUAAUCUUCCUCUUUCAAUUAUUUUCCAGAUUUCAGUCUAUGUUGUCCAUUCUGUAAAAUUAGUAAAUUAUAUAAAUUACCCAUUUUUCUUUGAUUCUAGCAUAUUUAUACCUCUAUAACAGACAAUGAAUUAUAUUUUACAUGGGAUGAUCCCAGAUUCAUGGAAGCAUGCUAAUAUAGCUUUGAUUCUAACAAUUAUAGAGAUUCAUUAGAUCCAAAGAAUUAUAGGCUGGUGCCUUUAUUGAAAAAUUAUUAUAAGCUAUUUACAACAACAACCUCAAUGCAGUCAUGUCGGCCACAUGACCUUGGAGCUGUCUACGGACAACGCUGGCUCUUUGUCUUAGAAAUGGCGAGGAGCACCAACCCUCAGAGUCGGACAUGACUAGACUUAAUGUCACGGGAAAACCUCCCCCUUUACCUACAGCAAUGCUAGCUGAGAGACUUUUCGAGUUUAUGAUCCAUGAAUAUCAUGUUUUAUAGUACAGUAGAGUCUCACUUAUCCAACAUAAACGGGCCAGCAGAAUGUUGGAUAAGCGAAUAUGUUGGAUAAUAAGGAGGGAUUAAGGAAAAGCCUAUUAAAUAUCAAAGUAGGUUAUGCUUUUAUAAAUUAAGCAUCAAAACAUCAUGUUAUACCACAAAUUUGACAGAAAAAGUAGUUCAAUACACAGUAAUGCUAUGUAGAAAUUACUGUAUUUACGAACUUGGCACCAAAAUAUCACGAUGUAUUGAAAACAUUGACUACAAAAAACGUUGGAUAAUCUAGAACGUUGGAUAAGCGAGUGUUGGAUAAGUGAGACUCUACUGUAUAUGAUCCAUGAAUAUCAAGCUAUAUUUCUGCAUAAAGGGAUGUUGAGACACGGAAAUGGUAAUUGACAAUGUUCAUUGGCCAUUUAUGUUUACAACUAUGGAGAAGAUGAAAUUUGGGGAAGUUUCUUGAGUGGCUCAUGUGAAGUAUUGCAAAGUUUGUAUGUUCAUUCAUUGUUUUACUAGCAACCCCUGAUCUAUGCCUCUCACAUUCCAUGUUUCUAUAAAUUUUAUCCAGCUUUGGGCUUUUCUUUCACCUCUGAGCGUAUGAACAGGUAAAUGUCCUUUCAGCUUGAGUCUAGUUGCAUCAUUAGUCACAACACUACUCUUAGUUGUCCUCUGCUAUAUCCCAGUAGCUCACUGAGCACAAUUUGACUGUAGAAUCACUCAUUUCCUCUACUGCUGCCCAAUAUAUGUCUGGAACAUUUAUACUGACUCCUCUGCAAAAGCCUUCUGACAUGGGAGACUCAAU
ensembl:lncRNA